rnacentral:rRNA from 1 species
AGAGUUUGAUCAUGGCUCAGGAUGAACGCUGGCGGCGUGCCUAAUACAUGCAAGUCGAGCGAAUGGAUUAAGAGCUUGCUCUUAUGAAGUUAGCGGCGGACGGGUGAGUAACACGUGGGUAACCUGCCCAUAAGACUGGGAUAACUCCGGGAAACCGGGGCUAAUACCGGAUAACAUUUUGAACCGCAUGGUUCGAAAUUGAAAGGCGGCUUCGGCUGUCACUUACAGAUGGGCCCGCGGCGCAUUAGCUAGUUGGUGAGGUAAUGGCUCACCAAGGCGACGAUGCGUAGCCGACCUGAGAGGGUGAUCGGCCACACUGGGACUGAGACACGGCCCAGACUCCUACGGGAGGCAGCAGUAGGGAAUCUUCCGCAAUGGACGAAAGUCUGACGGAGCAACGCCGCGUGAGUGAUGAAGGCUUUCGGGUCGUAAAACUCUGUUGUUAGGGAAGAACAAGUACGAGAGUAACUGCUCGUACCUUGACGGUACCUAACCAGAAAGCCACGGCUAACUACGUGCCAGCAGCCGCGGUAAUACGUAGGUGGCAAGCGUUAUCCGGAAUUAUUGGGCGUAAAGCGCGCGCAGGCGGUUUCUUAAGUCUGAUGUGAAAGCCCACGGCUCAACCGUGGAGGGUCAUUGGAAACUGGGGAACUUGAGUGCAGAAGAGAAAAGCGGAAUUCCACGUGUAGCGGUGAAAUGCGUAGAGAUGUGGAGGAACACCAGUGGCGAAGGCGGCUUUUUGGUCUGUAACUGACGCUGAGGCGCGAAAGCGUGGGGAGCAAACGGGAUUAGAUACCCUGGUAGU